GCGCUAUAGGUAUUAUAUAGCAACACAACCUAGAUUAAGGAAGGCUAAGGGCUUAUAGGCCUAUACUAAUCCUAAGUGCAGUCCUAGUAAAGUAAUCUUCUAGGACGUAUAUAGAGUAUAGAAAGGUAUAGGCAGCUCUUCUAGGUACGCCUAGAAGGCUGCUUAAGGGACAUGCUAGACCCAUAAGAAACCAUGCUAGAUAUAAAGGACCUGCAGUCUAGAUUAUCUAGGUAGCUUUAAGGCUAGGAGGAAAUGCCUAGAAGAGCUAGGUAUACUAUAUAGAAUAGGGAUAAGACGUGCGCCUAGGCCUAUAGCAGUUAGGAUAGGGUAUAAUAGUAACCUAUAUAGGUUUUAAAUAGGGAAUGUAAGCUAGGUUUAGACCGUUAUAAGAUAGGUUAGUUUUACCCUACUAAUAACCUUACUGCAAUAGUAAUUUAGCUUAGUAUAAGAGGAACUGCUAAUUUAGAUAAUUAGUUUUUAUAGCUAUCUAACUAGGCAGUGCUGUAACGCUACUAUUUACUAGAUAAUAGCUAAACACCUCUAAGUUAGAAUCCAUGCUAGAACGCAGUAAUACCACCCGUACGUACAGAUAGAUAAGAAUAGGCUUUAGCUUUAUAUCUUAGUAGGCAAUUCCUUUAUAGCUAUAGAAGAGUAGUCUUAGUAUUUCGCGUAUUAUAAUUUCAAUAUAAGUAGGGUUAAAUCCUUUAU
rnacentral:rRNA from 1 species